AUAAAGAUAAUUAUUUUUGGGUAAUAGUUAACAUUAUUUUUAUUUUUUUAAUUUUUGUUAUUUUUAGGUGAAAUUUUAAUUUUGAUUGAGAAAAUUUUAUGUGAAGCUAUGAAAUUUAUUUUAUAGACAAGGAUUAGAUACCCUUUUAUUAUAAAUGUGAAUUUGAACUCUGGGUAGUAUUAGUUAUGAUCUUGAAACCCAAAGAAUUUGGCGGUAUUUUAUUCUUUUUAGAGGAACCUGUCCUGUAAUCGACAAUCCACGAUAAAGAGUUACUUAUUUUUGUAAUCAGUUUGUAUACCUCCGUCAUCAGAGUAUCUUUUUAGAGUUAAUAUUCUUCUUAUAAGUUUUAUGGUAUGUCAGGUCAAGGUGCAGCUAAUAAAUGAGUCUAGAGAUGGGUUACAAUAAAUUUAUUUAUAUGGAUUAGUAUUUAUAAAUGUAUUAUGAAGGUGGAUUUAAAAGUAUAAUUGGUUUUUUGCUGAUUUGAUUUUGGCUCUGAAAUAUGCACACAUCGCCCGUCGCUCUUAUUUUUAAAAUAAGAUAAGUCGUAACAUAGUAGAUGUAUCGGAAGAUGUAUCUAGAAAG
rnacentral:rRNA from 1 species